GUCUACCUUCCCCCCUUAUAUAGGGAAAAGGAGAGGGCAGACAUUAUGUAUCAGCUGAUAAUGUUUACGCAGAAAACAAAGGAGGGUGGGAGGGAUGUGUGUGUGUAAGUAGGGGGUAAUCACAGUCUUAGAUCGAGAAGUUUGAGAA